rnacentral:rRNA from 1 species
UGGCGGACGGGUGAGUAACGCGUGAGAAUCUGCCCUCAGGAGGGGGAUAACGGCUGGAAACGGCCGCUAAUACCCCAUAUGCCGAGAGGUGAAAUGAAUUUCGCCUGAGGAUGAGCUCGCGUCUGAUUAGCUAGUUGGUGAGGUAAUGGCUCACCAAGGCUUCGAUCAGUAGCUGGUCUGAGAGGAUGAUCAGCCACACUGGGACUGAGACACGGCCCAGACUCCUACGGGAGGCAGCAGUGGGGAAUUUUCCGCAAUGGGCGAAAGCCUGACGGAGCAACGCCGCGUGAGGGAUGAAGGCCUCUGGGCUGUAAACCUCUUUUAUCAAGGAAGAAGAUCUGACGGUACUUGAUGAAUAAGCCACGGCUAAUUCCGUGCCAGCAGCCGCGGUAAUACGGGAGUGGCAAGCGUUAUCCGGAAUUAUUGGGCGUAAAGCGUCCGCAGGCGGUUUUGAAAGUCUGUUGUUAAAGCGUGGAGCUUAACUCCAUUUCAGCAAUGGAAACUACAAGACUAGAGUGUGGUAGGGGCAGAGGGAAUUCCCGGUGUAGCGGUGAAAUGCGUAGAUAUCGGGAAGAACACCAGUGGCGAAGGCGCUCUGCUGGGCCAUAACUGACGCUCAUGGACGAAAGCCAGGGGAGCGAAAGGGAUUAGAUACCCCUGUAGUCCUGGCCGUAAACGAUGAACACUAGGUGUCGGGGGAAUCGACCCCCUCGGUGUCGUAGCCAACGCGUUAAGUGUUCCGCCUGGGGAGUACGCACGCAAGUGUGAAACUCAAAGGAAUUGACGGGGGCCCGCACAAGCGGUGGAGUAUGUGGUUUAAUUCGAUGCAACGCGAAGAACCUUACCAGGGUUUGACAUCCUGCGAAUCCCUUGGAAACUUGGGAGUGCCUUCGGGAGCGCAGUGACAGGUGGUGCAUGGCUGUCGUCAGCUCGUGUCGUGAGAUGUUGGGUUAAGUCCCGCAACGAGCGCAACCCACGUCUUUAGUUGCCAGCAUUUAGUUGGGCACUCUAGAGAGACUGCCGGUGAUAAACCGGAGGAAGGUGUGGAUGACGUCAAGUCAUCAUGCCCCUUACAUCCUGGGCUACACACGUACUACAAUGCUACGGACAAAGGGCAGCAAACUCGCGAGAGCUAGCAAAUCCCAUAAACCGUGGCUCAGUUCAGAUCGUAGGCUGCAACUCGCCUACGUGAAGGAGGAAUCGCUAGUAAUCGCAGGUCAGCAUACUGCGGUGAAUACGUUCCCGGGCCUUGUACACACCGCCCGUCACACCAUGGAAGUUGGCCACGCCCGAAGUCGUUACUCCAACCCUUGUGGAGGAGGAUGCCGAAGGUGGGGCUGAUGACUGGGGUGAAGUCGUAACAAGGUAGCCGUACCGGAAGGUGC